rnacentral:misc_RNA from 1 species
GAAAUGCGAUAAGUAAUGUGAAUUGCAGAAUUCAGUGAAUCAUCGAAGCUUUGAACGCACAUUGCGCCCGCCAGUAUUCUGGCGGGCAUGCCUGUUCGAGCGUCAUUUCAACCAUCAAGCCCCCGGCUUGUGUUGGGGACCUGCGGCUGCCCGCAGGCCCUGAAAAACAGUGGCGGGCUCGCUGUCACACCGAGCGUAGUAGCAUACAUUCUCGCUCAGGGCGUGCUGCGGGUUCCGGCCGUUAAACGACCUUCAUAACCCAAGGUUGACCUCGGAUCAGGUAGGAAGACCCGCUGAACUUAAG